UACGUAGGGGGCAAGCGUUGUCCGGAAUUAUUGGGCGUAAAGGGCGUGUAGGCGGUCCGGUAAGUCAGCUGUGAAAGUCAAGGGCUCAACCCUUGAAAGCCGGUUGAUACUGUCGGGCUAGAGUCCGGAAGAGGCGAGUGGAAUUCCCGGUGUAGCGGUGAAAUGCGCAGAUAUCGGGAGGAACACCGAUGGCGAAGGCAGCUCGCUGGGCCGGUACUGACGCUGAGGCGCGAAAGCGUGGGGAGCAAACAGG
rnacentral:rRNA from 1 species